GGUAAACGCUGGCGGCGUGCCUAAAACAUGCAAGUCGAACGCAUCACGCAAGUGGUGAGUGGCAGACGGCUGAGUAACGCGUGGGUGACCUGCCCGCUUGUGGGGAAUAACUGCCCGAAAGGGUGGCUAAUACCGCAUACGUCCCCCGAUUCGUGUCGGGGGGGAAAGUCGUAAGACGCAAGCAGAGGGGCCCGCGUUCGAUUAGCUGGUUGGUGGGGUAACGGCCUACCAAGGCGACGAUCGAUAGCUGGUCUCAGAGGAUGAUCAGCCAGACUGG
rnacentral:rRNA from 1 species